UUUGCUUUUAGCGAAGCUGCUCAUCUCAGUACCAAAAAAAAAAAAAUCUGUUCUUAUCAGUUUAAUAUCUGAUACGCCCUCUAUAUGAGGGCUACAUAUUAAAUGGAUUUUUAGAACAGGGAGCCAGAACAGGAGCUUGCUCCUUCUGCUCCACGCAUCGACCUGGUAUUGCAGUACCUCCAGGAGCGGUGCACCUUCC
rfam:Astyanax mexicanus Tnplaced_Scaffold4034, whole genome shotgun sequence.